rnacentral:rRNA from 1 species
AUUGAACGCUGGCGGCAUGCCUUACACAUGCAAGUCGAACGGCAGCGGGCCCUUCGGGGUGCCGGCGAGUGGCGAACGGGUGAGUAAUGCAUCGGAACGUACCCGGGAGAGGGGGAUAACCGGCCGAAAGGCUGGCUAAUACCGCAUGAACUCGGAAGAGCAAAGCGGGGGACCUUCGGGCCUCGCGCUCUCGGAGCGGCCGAUGUCCGAUUAGGCUAGUUGGUGGGGUAAAGGCCCACCAAGGCGACGAUCGGUAGCGGGUCUGAGAGGACGAUCCGCCACACUGGGACUGAGACACGGCCCAGACUCCUACGGGAGGCAGCAGUGGGGAAUCUUGGAUGAUGGGCGCAAGCCUGAUCCAGCAAUGCCGCGUGGGUGAAGAAGGCCUUCGGGUUGUAAAGCCCUUUCGGCGGGGAAGAAAUCGGUCAGGCGAAUAGUCUGGCCGGAUGACGGUACCCGCAGAAGAAGCACCGGCUAACUACG